GACUCAUUGUUCAAUGUUGGAAUGUAUUGCAGACACAUUUUGGCAUCCAUCCACUUCAACAACAACUUAAGGCGUGAUGUAAAGAUGAAGAAUGAUGGCACUUUCCAAAUAAAUGUGGUGUAUCCAAAGUUCAAAAAUGGUGAAGGAACUGUAAGGGAUGUCAGAGUUAAGCCCAAAUUUGAGUAUGUGGAUGAAUUAUUUGAGAGUGUGAUGCUGUCAAUAAAAGACAAAGAUGCAUUAUCAAAUUCACAAAUCUUUUGAAAGAAAUGUCCCCACCACCAAUGAAUAUCAUGUUGCAAAAGCAACCCAGAUUUGAGGUGCUACUAAAACAGGUCCGUCGAAAAUGCAUUGUGGUCAAUGAUGUCCCCCCCUCAAUUCCAGGUAAUUAAUAAUGAUUAUACAACAUGUUGUAGCUAAACAUGGUUUGAAAAUCAUUUUAAAUAAUAAAAAUGUUUUUGUUUCAUGCCAGCAGCUACCAGUGUGCCAUUCAGCUCUCAAAAGUGGCAGUUUCAAAAGAAAAAAGUCAGCCAAAAUGUUUGACAUGCAAGAAGCCAAUGAAAGGUCACAAACAUGUGGCAGAUUGCCCAAAAAAUAGGAAAACUUAAUUUUCACAUCACUCAUUUGUUUCAUUUUCUUCAUACCCUCUAAAUUCCAACUUUUUAUCAUUAAAUUUUGAUCUUAUUGCAUGGUAUGCACAUGCUGGUAAUGGUCUUCUUUCUUCUCCUAAGCAUCCAUAAAUCAUAGAUGUGAAUUCUCUGUAUGUAACACAUCGUAAAAACCUGAAUAUAAAGCCAAAUCGUUACUAAUGUGUCAUAACACUAAAAUAUACUUAAAUACUGGGAAAUAACAUAAUAUGCUAUCAUA